GACGAACCGUGCGAACGUUAUUCGGAGUCACUGGGCUUAAAGGGCGCGUAGGCGGGUCGUCAAGUCAGGGGUGAAAUCCCGCGGCUCAACUGGGGAGGGUCACGCGAUACUGAUCGACUCGAAGGCAGGAGAGGGUAGUGGAAUUCCCGGUGUAGUGGUGAAAUGCGUAGAUAUCGGGAGGAACACCAGUGGCGAAGGCGACUACCUGGCCUGUUUCUUGACGCUGAGGCGCGAAAGCUAGGGGAGCAAACGGG
rnacentral:rRNA from 1 species